CAGCCGCCACGGUAAUACGGAGGGUGCAAGCGUUAAUCGGAAUUACUGGGCGUAAAGCGCACGCAGGCGGUUUGUUAAGUCAGAUGUGAAAUCCCCGAGCUUAACUUGGGAACUGCAUUUGAAACUGGCAAGCUAGAGUCUUGUAGAGGGGGGUAGAGUUCCAGGUGUAGCGGUGAAAUGCGUAGAGAUCUGGAGGAAUACCGGUGGCGAAGGCGGCCCCCUGGACAAAGACUGACGCUCAGGUGCGAAAGCGUGGGGAGCAAACAGGAUUAGAUACCCCAGUAGUCCCUGUCUCUUAUAC
rnacentral:rRNA from 1 species